ensembl:lncRNA
UAUGCUGCACCACGUGGCAUGUGGGAUCAUAGCUCCCUGACCAGGGAUCAAACCUGUGCCCCCUGUAUUGGAAGCAUGGAGUCUUAACAACUGGACCUCCAAGGAAGCCCCUGAAAAGCUUUUAGAUAUGAAAAUAAGGACCUUGUUCUUUGCUGGGGACACCUGCCUGAGACCCGGCCUGAAAGAGCUGCCCGGAUGGACAGACUGAGAGUUGUGCAGCAAGGAAGCCAGACCCACAGAGGAACAGAGCACAGUGCUAAGUGUGCCUCCAGAACCUCAGACCAAAGUUCAAAUCCUGGCUCAGCCGUGUGGUUUCAACAAGUCACUGCCCCUUCCAGGUCCAGCUUCACCUUGUAAGGUGGGAAGAAUAAAAUCAACAACCCAGCCUUACUG